CGGACCGGGCCGCCCCGGCGCUCCCGAGCCCGGCUCGCCGCCACCCAGCGGCUCGCGGAGCGGCGCGGCGCGGAGGGAGGAGUUUUCCCAGAACCGGACUGCCGGGAAGGUCCGGAGACCCCCACGCCAGGAGCGGUAUUAUGUGUCCACCAGGUGCUGUGGAAACAGUGAAGGGUAAGACCUCAGCACCUACCCUCGAAGGAAGAACUUGUCAUUUAGCUGGGAAGAACACUGCCAUAACGUGGGAAUCUGGGUGUUAAACGCACCAGCAGAAUUUAGUAUCUUGAGAGCUGCUAGAACCUCACUGAGCUCCUGUUUGGAAGUCUUCAGAACACUUUGAUUUAAACCCCUGCCCAAGGUGCAGCCAUCCUUGAUGCCAUCCAGCAGCAGCAGCAGCUUCUUGGGCCCAGGGCUGAGCCAAUGCCAAGGCCCCUGGCAGUGGGGACAAGGCCGCCAGCACAGAGCAACAUUGGCCAGCCACUCUACAAGGGACAGUAUGGGGCCUGCCGAUCUUGUUCCCUCAGUCGCCUGGCCACACAAGGACUACGGAGAACUUGGUCAGCAUCAUGGCCCCACAGAUGGCAGUAGCUAUUUCCCUGUGGCAUGUAGCACCCCGACCAACAUGUCCGUUGUCAUUUCCAAUGGCAACAAAUGCCUUGAACCUGGUCUGCUGGCCAGCACGAGACUGCUUUUACAUGGACAUAAUCUUCAAAAUUCAUCCUUAAAGAAUGCCCCCAGGAAAAAAAAUCAACCAUCUCAGAUUUCUUGAUGAGCAGGAAGAAGAGAGAGAUCUUCUCCAGGGAUUUAACUGUGUUUUUAACCAAUGACUGAGCUUAGCGAGGGGCAUCACCCCUUGUCCUUAGCCUUGCCUCACAAACUCCGUGGCCUCAAUCCCCACCAUUGACAGAAGUCAGUUGGGCCUCCCACCACAACCCACGGGUCUCAUCCUACUUCAGCACCAGUGUCAUCACCACUUGGCGUUUUGUCAGAGAAGACCAAUCUGUGGGUCUUGAUCCCUUUUCCCUCAUAAGGCUUCUCAGAAUUCACUAUCAGUGUUUCCCCACUAUGUAACUUUCCUAAAUUCACUAGCUUGGUUCUCAAUAAAACUUUAUCCCUAAAAA